CUUUACUCUAGCUUGGCACUGAGUCGUACAUAUAUUUGUGCAGGAUAGGUGGGAGACUAUGAAAGAUAGACGCCAGUUCAUCUCGAGUCGUCGUCGAGAUACCACCCUUGUAUAUGUAUGCCUCUAACCCCUUUUUGGGGGACCGUGCUUGGUGGGGAGUUUAACUGGGGCGGUUGCCUCCUAAAACGUAACGGAGGCGCACAAAGGUAGGCUAGGUCCGGAUGGAAAUCGGACUGGUCGUGUAUUCGCACAAGCCUGCUUGACUGAGAGACCUACAAGUCGAUCAGAGACGAAAGUCGGUGAAAGUGAUCCGGCACCAACAUGUGGGAGUGGUGUCGCUCAACGGAUAAAAGUUA
rnacentral:rRNA from 1 species